AUUUUUCCUGCUGUAUUAGCUUUUAUAAAAGCUACUCACCUCCCAACUGCCAGCAAUUUCUCCCAACCCUAAAAGAUCUCAAACAUACCCAGACCUGUCAUAGGUUUGGGGCUGGAAGCCUAGUGGUCCAAUGAACACUUUUCUUGCAU